AGUUCGCUUUGCGCCAGGAGGAGGCCAUGGCUUUGCCGCGGUUUCACGGGGCUCAGUUGCAGCCUUUGUCCUGUCUCACCGUGCUCCUCCUCCUUUCUAAUUGGAGAAGCAGUUCACAUUGACCUGGAACAUCAAGUUACCUGUGAUGACUACUUGUAAAAUAUGCCAAGAGAAUUUCAUCAGGCCAAAGAGAGAUGAAAGGUCAGAGCUUCAGAAAGAAAUGAAGAGGACCAGUAAAGGAAAAUA